UGAGGAAUAUUGGGCAAUGGGCGCAAGCCUGACCCAGCAACGCCGCGUGGAGGAAGACGGCCUUCGGGUUGUAAACUCCUUUUACGGGGGAAGAGGAAGGACGGUACCCCGAGAAUAAGUCACGGCUAACUACGUGCCAGCAGCCGCGGUAAUACGUAGGUGACAAGCGUUAUCCGGAAUUACUGGGCGUAAAGCGCACGCAGGCGGCGCAUUAAGUCUGACGUGAAAUCUCCCGGCUUAACUGGGAGGGGUCGUUGGAGACUGAUGUGCUUGAGGCGGUGAGAGGGGUGUAGAAUUCCCGGUGUAGUGGUGGAAUGCGUAGAUAUCGGGAGGAAUACCAGUGGCGAAAGCGGCACCCUGGCACUAGCCUGACGCUCAUGUGCGAAGGCGUGGGGAGCGAACG
rnacentral:rRNA from 1 species